CACGGGCCGGGUUGGCUUAAUAAUGCAAGUCGAACGCGUUGGCCCAAUUGAUUGAUGGUGCUUGCACCUGAUUGAUUUUGGUCGCCAACGAGUGGCGGACGGGUGAGUAACACGUAGGUAACCUGCCCAGAAGCGGGGGACAACAUUUGGAAACAGAUGCUAAUACCGCAUAACAGCGUUGUUCGCAUGAACAACGCUUAAAAGAUGGCUUCUCGCUAUCACUUCUGGAUGGACCUGCGGUGCAUUAGCUUGUUGGUGGGGUAACGGCCUACCAAGGCGAUGAUGCAUAGCCGAGUUGAGAGACUGAUCGGCCACAAUGGGACUGAGACACGGCCCAUACUCCUACGGGAGGCAGCAGUAGGGAAUCUUCCACAAUGGGCGCAAGCCUGAUGGAGCAACACCGCGUGAGUGAAGAAGGGUUUCGGCUCGUAAAGCUCUGUUGUUAAAGAAGAACACGUAUGAGAGUAACUGUUCAUACGUUGACGGUAUUUAACCAGAAAGUCACGGCUAACUACGUGCCAGCAGCCGCGGUAAUACGUAGGUGGCAAGCGUUAUCCGGAUUUAUUGGGCGUAAAGAGAGUGCAGGCGGUUUUCUAAGUCUGAUGUGAAAGCCUUCGGCUUAACCGGAGAAGUGCAUCGGAAACUGGAUAACUUGAGUGCAGAAGAGGGUAGUGGAACUCCAUGUGUAGCGGUGGAAUGCGUAGAUAUAUGGAAGAACACCAGUGGCGAAGGCGGCUACCUGGUCUGCAACUGACGCUGAGACUCGAAAGCAUGGGUAGCGAACAGGAUUAGAUACCCUGGUAGUCCAUGCCGUAAACGAUGAGUGCUAGGUGUUGGAGGGUUUCCGCCCUUCAGUGCCGGAGCUAACGCAUUAAGCACUCCGCCUGGGGAGUACGACCGCAAGGUUGAAACUCAAAGGAAUUGACGGGGGCCCGCACAAGCGGUGGAGCAUGUGGUUUAAUUCGAAGCUACGCGAAGAACCUUACCAGGUCUUGACAUCUUGCGCCAACCCUAGAGAUAGGGCGUUUCCUUCGGGAACGCAAUGACAGGUGGUGCAUGGUCGUCGUCAGCUCGUGUCGUGAGAUGUUGGGUUAAGUCCCGCAACGAGCGCAACCCUUGUUACUAGUUGCCAGCAUUAAGUUGGGCACUCUAGUGAGACUGCCGGUGACAAACCGGAGGAAGGUGGGGACGACGUCAGAUCAUCAUGCCCCUUAUGACCUGGGCUACACACGUGCUACAAUGGACGGUACAACGAGUCGCGAACUCGCGAGGGCAAGCAAAUCUCUUAAAACCGUUCUCAGUUCGGACUGCAGGCUGCAACUCGCCUGCACGAAGUCGGAAUCGCUAGUAAUCGCGGAUCAGCAUGCCGCGGUGAAUACGUUCCCGGGCCUUGUACACACCGCCCGUCACACCAUGAGAGUUUGUAACACCCAAAGUCGGUGGGGUAACCUUUUAGGAGCCAGCCGCCUAAAGGUUGGCCAGGUUUUG
rnacentral:rRNA from 1 species